GGUGUAGCUCAAGAGCAGAGUGCAUGUUUAAUAUGCGUGAGGCCCUGGGCUCAAUCCCCAGCACC
rnacentral:tRNA from 1 species